GCAGUUGUGGUCUAGUGGAUAAGAUGAUUGACUGGAGAUAAAAAAGGUCGCUGGUUCAGUCCCCAGCUCCA